UACGUAGGGGGCAAGCGUUGUCCGGAAUCAUUGGGCGUAAAGAGCGUGUAGGCGGCCCGGUAAGUCCGCUGUGAAAGUCCAGGGCUCAACCCUGGGAUGCCGGUGGAUACUGUCGGGCUCGAGUCCGGAAGAGGAGUGUGGAAUUCCUGGUGUAGCGGUGAAAUGCGCAGAUAUCAGGAGGAACACCAAUGGCGAAGGCAGCACUCUGGAACGUGACUGACGCUGAGACGCGAAAGCGUGGGGAGCAAACAGG
rnacentral:rRNA from 1 species